CGGAUAUGGAUAUUCAACACAAGGGGCCGGUGCCAGUGGACUGGGACCUGACUGGGGCAGCAGACUGGGACCAUCUGACUGGAGAAACACACCUCUGUACUAUGGAGUCCAUGCAGCAUUGGAAACAGCCUAUGGUGAGACUGGCACUUGUCCAUCAGCUUACAGUGUUGGAGCAGCCGGCCCGUUGCCAUAUGGUCCAUCACCUGACGGAGGACAUGCAUCUGACCCACCACCUGGUGAUGGCAAUCCAGCCGGCAGAAAAGCGGCCAGCCCACUGCACUACUGGAGAGAAUUAGGCAGCUCAUCAGAUCAGAGCAACGUCCCAACAGCUACUGAGUGGACACCUUGCGAUGGAUGUAAGAAGGAGUUUGAGAAGCUCAUCUGUCAGAAGAGGGAAGUCGAUGAGGUCGCCUCAAAAAUAG
ensembl:lncRNA